rnacentral:rRNA from 1 species
UAGGGAAUAUUGGACAAUGGGCGAGAGCCUGAUCCAGCCAUGCCGCGUGCAGGAAGAAGGCCUUCUGGGUUGUAAACUGCUUUUCUCUGGGGAUAAAAGGCCCAUGCGUGGGACAUUGAAGGUACCAGAGGAAUAAGCCACGGCUAACUACGUGCCAGCAGCCGCGGUAAUACGUAGGUGGCAAGCGUUGUCCGGAUUUAUUGGGUUUAAAGGGUGCGUAGGCGGUUCAAUAAGUCAGUGGUGAAAUACGGCAGCUCAACUGUCGAGGUGCCAUUGAUACUGUUGGACUUGAGUACAGACGAGGUAGGCGGAAUUGACGGUGUAGCGGUGAAAUGCUUAGAUAUCGUCAAGAACACCGAUAGCGAAGGCAGCUUACUAGGCUGUAACUGACGCUGAGGCACGAAAGUGUGGGGAUCAAACAGGAUUAGAUACCCCCGUAGUCC